GUUGACCUCGGAUCAGGUAGGGAUACCCGCUGAACUUAAGCAUAUCAAUAAGGCGGAGGA
rnacentral:rRNA from 3 species